GAGGUGCCAUAAUGGUGUAAGUACUAGGAGGUGCUUAGGAGGAGGUGCCAUAAGGUGUCAGUACUAGGAGGUGCCAUAAGGUGUCAGUACUAGGAGGUGCUAGGAGGAGGUGCAUAUGGUGUCAGUACUAGGAGGUGCUAGGAGGAGGUGC